ensembl:lncRNA
UCAGGCUGUUGUCGUUGUUGUUUUUCUUCACGAUAAAGUCUUUUUCAAUUCUUGCUCCGGACCCCUCGAUUUCUUUUACUCUCUCUCUUGAAUUAGUCUAAGUGUUUUAAAUCUCGAUUAAUCUACGACAUAAUUUGGCGUCACGAACAGGAUGAAAUAGGGACUCGCCAGCUGCCGGGCCAGAGGACGGGACGCAAACGGAUCAUACGACCAGAGCUCAAGGGUAAGUUGUCUUGCCAUAUAUAGGAUAGAGUCGUUUGAUCUGUUCUUGCCCCGUCUGAACGCCGAGCAGCAGAGAAAACAUAGAACCACCACUGGGAUUGGUGAUUCUGUGGCUCUUGGAGACUCUGCAUCGCGUCGGAACACCAUGUGGUAUAGAUCAUUACAUCUUGGUACACGGAGCACUGGUGAGACAAAAGGUUGGAUCAGAGGGAGAAGGUGUCUGAAGAAGGGAGGGGAAUGUAAAGAAAGCAAAAAGGGCGGACGCGGACCGACACAGAGGUAAUAAAUCAGCGGAGAUGAGGCUGGGGGUCGGUUUAGCUCAGGAAGUAGAGGGUGUCUUGUAACCGAAUGGUUGCUGGUUCGAUCCCCAUCUCCUCCUAGCUGAGUGUUGAUGUGUCCCUGAGCAAGUUAAAUGGUGAUUACAGGAUUUAGGGAUAAUUAUCUAGACUCCAAAACAUGAGCAAUUAGCGUUAAAAAAUUGUCUGCACACCACACUCCACAGGAGUCAAUGGGUUCAAUGGCGCCAGGGUAAAGUGACUCAUCAAAGGAGGAGCAGACCCAACCCAUGGACUCUGCGUGGAUAGGUGGAUGUUAUUUUGGUGCUUGGGCCUGACGAGGUCUAGGUGCCAAGAUAACAACACAAAUAAAAUAUU